rnacentral:lncRNA from 1 species
GAGGACAGUCCGGUGCUACCCCGGAAUGUGGCCAGCAAGAUCUGACUCAUCUUAUGGACCACAUAGCAAGAUUUCACACUGGCAGACCAUACAAAGUAUCCUUAGGAGAUAUUUCUGCUAUGUAUGGGUGAUUCUUGAGACAGCCAAGAACAGCAGGACAGCCA